rnacentral:rRNA from 1 species
CGUAGGGUGCAAGCGUUAAUCGGAAUUACUGGGCGUAAAGCGUGCGCAGGCGGUUAUGUAAGACAGUUGUGAAAUCCCCGGGCUCAACCUGGGAACUGCAUCUGUGACUGCAUAGCUAGAGUACGGUAGGGGGGGAUGGAAUUCCGCGUGUAGCAGUGAAAUGCGUAGAUAUGCGGAGGAACACCGAUGGCGAAGGCAAUCCCCUGGACCUGUACUGACGCUCAUGCACGAAAGCGUGGGGAGCAAACAGGAUUAGAUACCCUGGUAGUCCACGCCCUAAACGAUGUCAACUGGUUGUUGGGUCUUCACUGACUCAGUAACGAAGCUAACGCGUGAAGUUGACCGCCUGGGGAGUACGGCCGCAAGGUUG